GACGAACGCUGGCGGCGUGCUUAACACAUGCAAGUCGAACGGAAAGGCCCUGCUUGCAGGGUACUCGAGUGGCGAACGGGUGAGUAACACGUGGGUGAUCUGCCCUGCACUUCGGGAUAAGCCUGGGAAACUGGGUCUAAUACCGGAUAGGAGCCAUUUUUAGUGUGAUGGUUGGAAAGUUUUUUCGGUGUAGGAUGAGCUCGCGGCCUAUCAGCUUGUUGGUGGGGUAAUGGCCUACCAAGGCGGCGACGGGUAGCCGGCCUGAGAGGGUGGACGGCCACAUUGGGACUGAGAUACGGCCCAGACUCCUACGGGAGGCAGCAGUGGGGAAGAUUGCACAAUGGGCGCAAGCCUGAUGCAGCGACGCCGCGUGGGGGAUGACGGCCUUCGGGUUGUAAACUCCUUUCGCUAGGGACGAAGCUUUUUGUGACGGUACCUAGAUAAGAAGCACCGGUUAACUACGUG
rnacentral:rRNA from 1 species